rnacentral:rRNA from 1 species
CAGUAGCCGCGGUAAAACGUAGGGGGCGAGCGUUGUCCGAAGUUACUGGGCGUAAAGAGCGCGUAGGCUGGUCUUUAAGUGAGUGGUGAAAGGUUCGGGCUCAACCCGGACACUGCCUUUCAUACUGGGGACCUUGAGUGUGGGAGAGGCGAGUGGAAUGGUCGGUGUAGCGGUGAAAUGCGUAGAUAUCGAUCGGAACACCCAUGGCGAAGGCAGCUCGCUGGCCUAACACUGACGCUGAGGCGCGAAAGCGUGGGGAGCAAACAGGAUUAGAUACCCCCGUAGUCCCUGUCUCUUAUAC